GGCUUUGUGAGAAGGGAAAGAAAACGAUGCUCCUUAUAGCCCCAGGACGCUCCAGGAAUUACCUCCCCAGGAAGAGCACUGCUUUCCUAGGCCAUUAGCGGGGGUGGCCGACUCAGCAGAGCUUCAGGAGAAAACUGAAGUGACUCAGUGAGCACUGAGACUCCGGGUGGGCACAGCACGUUCCAGUAGAGCUAGCAAAGCAGCACAGCACCCAGAUGGCAGGAACGCAUCUGCAGUGUCCCUCGGGGGACUGCCCGAAAUAUUCGAGAGCAGAGAAUAUUUUUGCAGUCAAGCACUGGAAAUGAGAACGAGAGCACCAGAGUGGAGCCAGAAUAAUUCUCGAGGCUCUUCUUCCUGUAUAACUCCCUGGAAGUCAUCUCCAGUGACAAAAGAACCACAACUUCAUGAGAAUAACACAAACGUCAGCGUGAUUACAGCAAAUCAAAAAGCUUCUUGUACAGUGUGGGAAAAGACCAUCAGAAUGAAGAGACAAUCUACAGUGAGAAAAAGAUUUUGCCAUGUAUUCCUCAGACAGAAGACCAAUAUACAGAAUAUACAAAGAACUGAAAAAAAUGAGACACCCCACGAUAAAAGACCCAAUCAAAAAAUGGGCAACUGAAAUAAAUAGAAAAUUCUCAGAAGUAUGAAUGCCAAAACACAGACACACGA
rnacentral:lncRNA from 1 species